GACGAACGCUGGCGGCGUGCCUAAUACAUGCAAGUAGAACGCACAGUUUAUACCGUAGCUUGCUACACCAUAGACUGUGAGUUGCGAACGGGUGAGUAACGCGUAGGUAACCUGCCUGGUAGCGGGGGAUAACUAUUGGAAACGAUAGCUAAUACCGCAUAAUAUUAAUUAUUGCAUGAUAAUUAAUUGAAAGGUGCAAUUGCACCACUACCAGAUGGACCUGCGUUGUAUUAGCUAGUAGGUGAGGUAACGGCUCACCUAGGCGACGAUACAUAGCCGACCUGAGAGGGUGAUCGGCCACACUGGGACUGAGACACGGCCCAGACUCCUACGGGAGGCAGCAGUAGGGAAUCUUCGGCAAUGGACGAAAGUCUGACCGAGCAACGCCGCGUGAGUGAAGAAGGUUUUCGGAUCGUAAAGCUCUGUUGUAAGAGAAGAACGCGUGUGAGAGUGGAAAGUUCACACUGUGACGGUAUCUUACCAGAAAGGGACGGCUAACUACGUG
rnacentral:rRNA from 1 species